rnacentral:piRNA from 1 species
UGUGAACUUUAUGGGGCCAUUUUUGC